rnacentral:rRNA from 1 species
AGGCGGAGCUAANCCCUUAAAGCCAUUCUCAGUUCGGAUUGUAGGCUGAAACUCGCCUACAUGAAGCUGGAGUUACUAGUAAUCGCAGAUCAGAAUGCUGCGGUGAAUGCGUUCCCGGGUCUUGUACACACCGCCCGUCACACCACGGAAGUUGGGGGCGCCCGAAGCCACUUAGCUAACCCUUUUGGGAAGCGAGUGUCGAAGGUGAAAUCAAUAACUGGGGUGAAGUCGUAACAAGGUAGC